CAGGUCGAGGCCAAUACGUGGCCCCUCAAUUGAUUAAGUUACUUAGUUCUUGUCAUGGGUUCCUGUAUCAUUAUUCAUGAAAGAGUCAUGAAUUAUUUGCAGGUGAGAUUUCAGCUUUGGCAUGAAUGACCCAAAAGAAAGAACUGGGAAGCAUAUGUACAAAACAGCAUCCUUGGUAAUGGAAGUGGUAGGUGAAAGUUUCCUGGGGUAGAUAAUAAUUUUAAUUUUUCUAGGAACUAAUAGUUAUAUCAUCCAUUAAGAGAAGAAUGAACAACAAUGUCUAUUGUGAUUAUAUCAACAAAAAUUGUCAGAUUGGAAUUCCUCACCAGUUAAAAACAUAAAUUCU
rnacentral:lncRNA from 1 species